rnacentral:lncRNA from 1 species
GUCGGGCUAGGCCCCUUUGGAUCACAAGUUUUGUUUCAUGCUUCUGACAACCGACGUUCAUUAACAUAAAACUAUAAAUUUUAAAUUGAAGCUCAAAUGAAGUCAUCUUAAGUUGAGAAAACAAAAGAUGUAUAAGAGUAAUUGCUACAGCGGAAGUCUAACAUAUGAAUUUUAACUCUAGCCUCAGCUCCGUCCCGUCAGCACCAGCCAGCCAACCUGAAAACAUUUGAAAGUAUUUUUUGGGCUAAGUACUAAUGUACUUAGUGGGCAUGCAUUUUCAUAAACGUUUCAUAUUUUCGUAAGAGCAGUUUAUCCAAUUAUACUUGACAUGACUUAGAAGGUUUUAAAAUGAAAUAACUUCUAAGCAUGUUAAAACAUUUUUCAUUUGUGCGCACAUGUCACACUCCCUUUCUGUUACUCGCUGUGAUCCCGGACCUUUUAGCCACCGACGGAUCCAUAUCUCCCGCUUUACUUGAUCUGAGGGCGUAACCCAGUCAAGUUCCCAUUUGGGACCCAAUGCUCCGGAACACAUCCCGUCGAGCACCCUUAUAACGCCUCAUACAUGAUUAGUGCCCGAAUGGAGAUCAACCCACCGAGUCAGCUAAUAGGUGUACACAAUUCUCAAACAACGUGUUAGGUCAUAAGAGAACCUCGAUCGAUUAACUUAUGCGAGCCUUAAACAGAGCAGAGUGCACAAAAUAUUUUAUUGGAUAAACAGUUUUCAUUACAUUAAAUAAACAAUUUGCAUUUCAUUGAAACAUUUAGAGCUUAAUAACUCAAUCAUACUUUAUACAUUUGGAAAGUAAGCCCACCUGGAUAGGCAAAGCCUG